rnacentral:rRNA from 1 species
AACGAACGCUGGCGGCAGGCUUAACACAUGCAAGUCGAGCGCCCCGCAAGGGGAGCGGCAGACGGGUGAGUAACGCGUGGGAAUCUACCCAUCCCUACGGAAUAGCUCCGGGAAACUGGAAUUAAUACCGUAUACGCCCUACGGGGGAAAGAUUUAUCGGGGAUGGAUGAGCCCGCGUUGGAUUAGCUAGUUGGUGAGGUAAUGGCUCACCAAGGCGACGAUCAGUAGCUUGCCGGAGAGGAUGAUCAGCCACACGGGGACUGAGACACGGCCCAGAGUCCUACGGGAGGCAGGAGUGGGGAGUAUUGGACAAUGGGGGCAACCCUGAUCCAGCCAUGCCGCGUGAGUGAUGAAGGCCUUAGGGUUGUAAAACUCUUUUGUCCGGGAAGAUAAUGACUGUACCGGAAGAAUAAGCCCCGGCUAACUUCGUGCCAGCAGCCGCCGUAAAAC